UACAUGGGGUGCAAACGUUGCUCGGAAUCAUUGGGCGUAAAGCGCGCGUAGGCGGUUACUUAAGUCGAAUGUGAAAGCCCUCGGCUUAACUGAGGAAGUGCAUCCGAAACUGAGUAGCUAGAGUACGAAAGAGGGUCGCGGAAUUCCCGGUGUAGAGGUGAAAUGCGCAGAUAUCAGGAGGAACACCGGUGGCGAAGGCGGAUCUCUGGGCCUUGCCUGACGCUGAGGCGCGAAAGCCAGGGGAGCAAACGGG
rnacentral:rRNA from 1 species